GUUCCUGUGGUUGAAGUACAACAGUGGCUUUUCGAGCCGCCGGACUUGGAUAGAUGCCAAGCAGGAAU
rnacentral:tRNA from 1 species